UACGGGGGGGGCAAGCGUUGUUCGGAAUUACUGGGCGUAAAGGGCUCGUAGGCGGCCAACUAAGUCAGACGUGAAAUCCCUCGGCUUAACCGGGGAACUGCAUCUGAUACUGGAUGGCUUGAGUUCGGGAGAGGGAUGCGGAAUUCCAGGUGUAGCGGUGAAAUGCGUAGAUAUCUGGAGGAACACCGGUGGCGAAGGCGGGUCUCUGGGCAGUAACUGACGCUGAGGAGCGAAAGCGUGGGGAGCAAACAGG
rnacentral:rRNA from 1 species